GAUGAACGCUGGCGGCGUGCCUAAUACAUGCAAGUCGAGCGAAGCGGGGACGGGUGAGUAACACGUGGAUAACCUCCUCUACGACUGGGAUAACUUCGGGAAACCGUAGCUAAACCCGAUACUUAUCGAUGGCUCCGCGCUUCAUUAGCUAGUUGGUAAGGUAACGGCUUACCAAGGCAACGAUGCAUAGCCGACCUGAGAGGGUAAGCGGCAAGACUGAAACGAGGACAAGGUCGAGACUACUAAGGGGGGCAGCAGUAGGGAAACUGCCGCAAUGGGCGAAAGCCUGACAGAGCAACGCCGCGUGAGUGAUGAAGAUCUUGGGAUCGUAAGACUCUGUAAGUAGGGAAGCGGUACCUAAGCAGAAAGCCACGGCUAACUACGUGCCAGCAGCCGCGGUAAUUC
rnacentral:rRNA from 1 species